UGAGAACCAAGUGGUUCUUGAUAAAUGCCAGUUAGGAACCCAAGGUGGCCUAGCUGGUCAGGGCACAGAGUAGGGUCUGCAAACUCAAGCCUGUCCGACUUCACAGCCAGUGCACUUUCCUCUAGUCUAAUGUCCAUAAGGGACACAGGGACACUUCACCCCUCUUUCCUGGAAACUGUGAUUGAGCCAGUGAGUUCUUGUCCCAGAAGACUACCUGUACAGCUCUGAGACUGAGUGAGGCAAAUGCUUGCUAGAGUGGGAAGGAAAUCUUAAACCUUUGGGUUGGAGAGGCUCCUGUGAAAGAUGACAUGAGUGGAGCCAUAUUAAAAUAGAGCCGGAGCAGUCAUUUCAGAGGAAUUGCCUUGCACGUUUGUUUUCUUUAUCUUCCAAACUGGAUCAAACUGCCAACAUUCCAAGAAGUCAGUAAGGACAAGAAUAUCCUGUUUGUAAAGACUGAUGAAACUGGACUUUGUUGGUGCCUGAAUUGCUAACCAAUCAAUGAAGGACAAGUCUAGGUUUCUGCCUGAUGACUGAAUUUCAAGCCAUUCUAUGAAGUACAAACCUAGCCUCACCUCAUCUAGCACCAACAAACUCUUCCCUCAUACAACUCACCUCAUCUUCCUGCCUUUUUUCUGUAAAAACCCUAAGCCCCUCUCCUGUAAUCAGAGCAUGGUGAAGUUUCUAUUUGAAUCUGUGUCUCCUGAAUUGCAUUUCUUGAGACCCCAAAUGAACUUUUUGCUUCUCUUGCAGUUUAUACCUCAUUUGUUGACGCUCCAAAUGACACGGAUAGGGUGCAGUGCUGCUGCUUACCAGCAGGGGGCAGGCGAGUCCACGCGUGCUCACCGGGUGUGGGCUAUAGUGGCCCUGGGACACUCUGAGUCAGAGCUUCAAGCAGGGUGAGAUUGCAAAGCACCAACAAUGACUUCUUCCAACUGGACGAGGCUCUAUAGAUGUGAACUCCACAGCGGCCCAGUGAGCUGGACUUUACUGUUCCCAUUUUACAGAGGCUGGGACAGGGUGAGUAGUCUGUCCAAGGUCACAUAGCCUUGCAAACCCUAGGUCCCCAAGUCUAGUUAUUUGACUGCACAUCUUGGGCUCUUUCUGUCACAUCACACUGGCUCUUUGGUAGGGCUGACAAUUCUACAAAUAUAUAUAAAUAUACACGACAUUUCCAUAUACUUAACUCUACCUCCUAUUUAACUGCCAGCCCACCAAAGGACCAUCUGGCCUCUUCUAAAAUUCCUGGCAACAAGGAACUCACCAUUUCCAAACGCUUUUUUCAGGAGCAGAGGGAGCAGCUUUGUAGGGAAUAGUCUGGUGCUACUUCUCCUGGGUCUGGCUGCAGAAUUUAGGGAAGGUUUUUAUUUAUUCGUUUAUGAAAUAUAUGCUAAUUAUCUAUUAAGUAGCCACAAAGAUCAUGUCUUUGGGGUUACCAUAACAAACACUGUAGAUUGGGUGACUUAAACCACGGGUGUUUAUUUCUCACAGUUCUAGAGGCUGAAAGUCUACCAGGGUGCCAGCAGGGCUGGGUUCUGGUGAGAGACCUCUUCCUGGUUUGCAGACAGUUGCUGUCUUGUUGUGAGAGAGAGACACACACACACACACACACAGAGAGACACAGAGAGAGAGACAGAGAGAGGGAGCAUAUCUCUUAUUAUAAGGACACUAAUCCCGUCAUGAGGGCUCCAUUCUCACAAUCUCAUCUAAAUGUAAUUAUCUCCCAAAGGCCCCCUCUCCAAAAACCAUCACCGUGGGGGUUAGGGCUUCAGCAUAUGAAUUUGGGGGGCAUACAAUUCAGUCCAUAGCAGUCCAGAUGCCAGUUAGUGUAAAGUUAUAUUCUGUGAUAUUGUGAUUUAUAAAAAAAUAUAUAUUUGUUCCUGUUCCUGGCACAGAGCUCCUCAAAUCCUUGGAAUUUCCUCUGAUGAGAGCUAUAGAGACGUCUUUUGUUAUGUUAAUGAGGUGACUUUUGGAAAGCUCCUUAGGGUGGAGGCUGGUUGCCAGGAGAAUCAAGCUUGUGAUUAGAGAGGGUUGAGCUUUGGGUCUGACUCCAGCCCUAGGGAGUGACUUUAGAUAGACAAGUUUAGCCACUCUGGGCCUCAGUUUCUUCAUUUAUAAAAUGGCAAUAAUUUCCACUCUGCCUGCAUCACAGGAGUGAAGAGUCAAAUAGAAUGCAGCUAUGACGGUGUUUUGAAAAUUGUGUCAUUAUUGUUACUACAUUGUUAUGUAUCUGAAAUCAGAACUCUGGACCUGGGAAGAGACCAAGAGAAGAGUAGCCAAAAGUAUAAAAGCGUUUGAAUGGAUAAACAGGAAAGAAAAGAAAAUGACUACAGAGCUACAUUUCAGCUGUGUGAAUGUGCGUAUGUAUGUGUGUGUACGUGUGUGUGCAUGUGUGAGUGUGUAUGACCUCUCUUUUAUCCAUAGUCAGUGAAUUUGAUUUUCCUUUCAGCAGAGAGUGGGGGCAAAACAGAUGGAGUCAGAGGCCAUUGCUUCAGAAGAGAUGUGUGGAGUAGAAUUGGCACAAUUCGGAAAGAAUGUCUAAGUGAGCCUCUCUCCUGAGUUGGAAAACUCCAGCAGCCAUGUUAUCUAAGAACCAAGUUCCUGCGUUGAAGAUUCUAAUGCCUUAUUCAUUGAUCCAGCCAACACUCGGGUACUGGCACAAGGUGAAGCAUCAGGGAAGAGCCAGGAACCUUUCUGAAGCUGUGCACAGCUCUCCUUGGAAAUUGCCAUCAUGGACAAAUCCAAAAUGAAGUAGACGUGGAAGGCUGAGAUUUGGAACAAACUGCUAUGGCUGGGAAGUAGCAAGUAGAGUCCUAUAGACCACCCAGCCUGGAAAGUAUCAUCCUAUUUGCUGCUGUCAUUCCAGGCCACGUAUCCUUCCAAGUACCCUUCCACGUGACCUUCCCUCUGCUUGUCUUGCCAAAUGGCAGUAGCAAAAAUGGAGGAGGGGCUUUGGUCUCAGCAGCCAGGUACCAUGACGAGUCCCAUUUUACUCCUGAAGAAAUGGAGGCAAAAAGAAGUAACAUACUUACUCAGGGUCGCACAACUCUAAGUGGCAGAUCCUUUAUAAAGGCACGACACAGGCUCUGGAGUCAGACCACAUAGGAUUGAUUCCCCGCUCUGCCACCUGCCAGUUGAAGGGCCCUGGAGGAUCUUGCAGGACUGCAGUUUCCUCCCUGGGAGAAGAAGGCAAGGAAGCUGGAGAGCAGACCAGCCUGCACCACACAUACACAAAUCGCAUCUCUAAAGAAUGUACACGGCAGAAAUGAAGGGUCC
ensembl:lncRNA